CUGACUUUCUUUUUCUACUUGAACUUAAAUUUUUAUUCAACUUCCUCCAAAGAUCUUUACCUUAAUGUAACAUAAUUUUGUUUGAAAAUACUGCUUACGCUAUCACAUGUAUCCGCAAUUGAAAUAUACCUAAAUUCAAUUUUUUACUUUUAUUUUGUUACCAUAAAGCUCUGAACAUUAAAAAAAUUUAUGCAAUUGAAUUAUUAUCAAUACACUACUGAUUAAACAAACAUAUUAUUAAACACAAAAAGUAAAAUUAUAUUGCAAAUGCAUCCUUUAAUGAGAUGAUAAACUUUUUUCAGUUAGUUCCUUUAUCUGUAAAUGAACAUUACUUACUGCUGAAAUAAGGGGUCAGUAUCAAUUCUAUUUCUAUUUUUUUUUUUUUGUUUUUAUAGAUGUAAGUUGAAGGAAUUGAGAGUGUUUUAUUAUAGCAAUGUAAUUCAGUUCUUUGAAUUCCUUCUAUGUUAUAUGUCAACAUUUGUGUAAUGGUCUAUUAGCAAAAAUAUUUUUAAUCUUCGGGCACAUGACAAUUUGAUAAAGUCCUUCUUCAUUUCUUUUAAACAGUGAACUAGGAAGCACCUGACUAGCAAAGAGAUUUGUUCUCCAGCAAUUUGAAUAAUUUACUUUCUCAAUUUCUGGGAAGUAUACCAAGAGAGCUUUACUAAGAUUCAUCAAAUUAUUGUUAAUUGUGCUGUAACACUUGUACUUAGGCCCACCUUUUAAAACCCGUAUCACCAGAAAUGGCAGGAAAAUCAAACAAAUUUUUAGUUUUAUUACAUGUUUGCCAAAACAAUGCUUUUUGAUAAAAUGCUUUGAUCUUAUUUCUUGUUUUAAAUGUAUUGCCACUAAUUUGGAGUUGCAGAUUUAGCUCAUUUAUGAAAAAUAUCUGUCAUAAAACCUCAUUGGCAGGGCCAGUCUUCACUGUCAAACCAGUCAGCCAAAUCAGAUACACUUUCUGUGAGAAAAAGUUUUUCAUUCUUCAAUUCAAAUAGCUAUUUUGAGGAAUAUUAUAAAAAUCAAUGAGAACUAAAAGUAUAUCUUAUGAAACUGAUCACUAAAAACAAUUAAGAUAAAGAUCUAAUAUAAUUGAUUUUUCCAUGUUUAAGUUAUAAAAACAAGAUGACCAAUACACUAUUUCUCAUAUAAAGCAGGAAAAUGAUAAAAGGCAUGGUAUAUCUGUAGUAAAAUUAUGUACGGGCAUUGAAUACUGCUGACUGGCUUUGGAGAAUGAUUAAACAAGAAAUAUGUUAUAAGAUAAAAUGGUAGAAACAACUAUAGUUUGAGUAUGUUCCCCAAGUUUCAUAUGUUGAAAAAUUAAUCCUCAAAUUCAUAUGUUGAUGGAGUAGACCCCAUGAUGGGACCCAAGGCUUUAUAAGAAGAGGAGGGACCUGAGUUGAAAUGCACUUUUUGCCCUUCCACCCUUCUAUCACAAUUUGAGGCAGCAAGAAGGCCCUCACCAGAUGUUGAGCAAAUUCCAAUGUCAGGCUCUUGGACUUCCCAAUCUCCAGAACCAUGAGCCGAAUGUUUCUUUUUUAAAAUAAAUUAUCCAGUCCGGUGUCUUGUUACAGCAACAGAAAAUAGACUAAGACAAGAAUUGAAUAAAAUUGAAUAAAUGUUUCAUGUUAUGGUUUGAUACAAUGGGUUCUGACAACUUUAUUAAUGAAUGCACAUCAAAUCUGAAAGAACCAUGUGAAAGUUUUUAUCCUUGGGUUCUAUCUGUCUACUGCACCUUAUAAAAAUUUGGCAUUCCCAAAAGCCAUUCUGGUUACAUUUAAAAUAAUCAGCAUGGCAAAUCUAUACUGCUUUAGCUCUUCCAAGUUACUUUUUUUCCCAGUCAAGAUACAUCCUAGGGAAGGAUAUUGACAAUAAUGGGAAAUAAUUGAUUAUAAUUAUAUGUAAGAAGACAUUUUUGGCAUUCAGUGCCUUCUACUAAUUUUCUUUGUUUCACUCUCCCAUGGCUUUCCCUCAAGAGCAAGAAAUUCUUUGACAAGAGUCAGGAAGAGAAAACCAAAAAGCCGUUAAAAAAAAAAAAUUGUUACCAUCACUCCACUUUAUCAUACAUCUGAAUUCUGAAAAUCUAUUUGUGAGUCCAAACACCCAAUUUCUAUGUUAUCUAACAUCAUAAUCAGCUUUAACAUGUGUAUAAGAGGCAAAAGCCCAAGGCUCUAUGGUUUUAUGAUUAAUCAUCAAACCUUUCCUCUGUUUGCUACAUCUGAGGUUUUUGGUGUCACAUUAAGAGCAAUGUAUUAAGAUUUGGGAUGGGUAGCCUAUAUCUUUUUUCUGUGGGAAAAGAAACAGUAUGAACAAAGACUCAUUCUCAGCAGAUCAAUUUAAGGAAAGAGUAUAGUGUAUAUAGAGGAUCUGGAAAUUAAUUUCCUGAAAAUUGUCCUGAGUAUGCAAUCCGUGAAAAGCCUUAGGUACACAUACCGCAGUUUGAAAAUUAUGAAUUUAUCAUACCUGCAUAUAGCUUAACCUGACCCAAUCCAAGAUUGUUUAUCAUGUGAUCUCAAUCCCUGGAGGAGGAUGAUCAAAGGAUUCUAACGAGGGCCCAGGGAGGUAGAGUUGGAAUUGCAGCAGAGAAGUUUUGAGUAGCACUGAGGAACCUCUGAUUCCAAUGUGGUGUUCAUGAUCCUGUAAGUGUUCCUGCUAUCAAAAAAUGAGUGCAAAACGUCCCCUGGCCCUUUGUUGGUGAAAAUAAGUGCAGCACCGUCCUCCCCAAACCAGAUGAUUAGUGUUGCUAACUGCCAUACCAACAGAGGCAAGCAGAUGAUAUAAAUAAAUGAAGCAGACAGGAUAUAAGAAAAGAGGUGAUGAGAGUUUGAUAAAAAGAGAGGACAUGCCUCAUCCACAGGUGGAGGCAGCUAUUCACCUCCAAUCCCACUGUUGCUAUAUUUUCCACUUUUCUACCUGGAUUUUCAUGUGAAAUCGCCUGAGGCAAUUAAAUCAACAUUGUUAUACAACACAUUGCAAAACAAAUCUCCAGGUUAUGUCUGCUCAAUGGUUGUUAGCAGUCUCCUCCCAAAGGCAACCUGGUGAUAUGUUUGCCUCUGGUGAGAGAACAAAGCAGUCUUGAAUCAAAAUUUGGGUCUUCUGAAGUGAGCCCAGCUAUCUCUCCACUUCUUACAAUGCUUCACAAAACAUUGCUGGAUCCUCACACGAAUCUUUCAAGUUUAAAGUGCAGAGUCAAUCAUUACUUCAAGCUUUCUGGAGGCUGAAGAAUUGUCAUCAGCAACCUCCACAAUCCAAAGAGUUGGAUGGAACUUUAAACAUCAUUUAUUCCAGCUCCCCUGUUUUUAUAGCUUCUCAUAACAUUCUCUAAAUAUUAGUAUUGGGUCUCAUUGAACUUGGAUUAAUAAAUGGAGGCUAUGGAAUCCCAGUAUUAUAGUUCCUGGAUGCUCUCCUCAUACGCCGCUUCAAAGGACUGUAAAAAAUUUUCAAUAGAAAGAAGUAGCUGUGAUGCUAGUUUCAGCCCUUCCUACUUGCAGACCCUGACCUAUAAUUACCUUGAGCUCUUCAACUUCAGAUCAUGUGCUAUUUUUAAAAUAUAUCCAUAAAUUCUUUGGUAUUCCUUUUAGGAGGUGGAAACUAAUUUCCUUCAUCCUUGAGUGUGGGCUAUACUUAGUGACUUGCUUCUAAUGAAUAGAAUAUGAUUGAUAGAUGAUGGUGACUUCUGAUAAUAGGUCAUGGCAUUUUAGCUUGCUCCCAGCUUUCUCUUGAAUUACUUGCUCUUCAGGAAGCCAGAAGUUAUGGGGACACUCAAGCAGCACUAGGGAGAGGCUCAUGAGUAGAAGAACUGAGGCAUCCUGCAAACAGCCAUGGACUAACCUGUAUUGGGAGCAGAUUCUCCAGCUCCACGUCUGUUCCUUAGUCUCUGUUGAGGUGAAACUCCAAUAUCUGAACCCACCAGCCAAAUAAGCAACCUGUGUACAAGCCAAGUUAAAAUUUCACUCCCGUAAUGGAUGAGGAGAAACCAGAAGACAUUUCUCAUGCACAGGGAGUGCAUGAAUCCCCUGAAUUGCCAGGUUUCAGGGUCACAUGAGACCUCUAGAAGGCUCUGCUCAUCAUCACCUUAUCAUCUGGUAGGUUCCAGGUAUCUGGGUACACAUGAAUUAAGCCUUAAUGACUUUAAAUUCUGUCUCAAAUUUUUAUCCUCUUACAAAAGUUUAAGCUUUUUGUCUGAGGAAAAGUGCACAUAUUCCAUGAAGAAG
rnacentral:lncRNA from 1 species